CAGCCGCCGCGGGAAUACGUAGGGUGCGAGCGUUGUCCGGAAUUACUGGGCGUAAAGAGCUCGUAGGCGGUUUGUCGCGUCGUCUGUGAAAUUCUGCAGCUUAACUGUAGGCGUGCAGGCGAUACGGGCAGACUUGAGUACUACAGGGGAGACUGGAAUUCCUGGUGUAGCGGUGAAAUGCGCAGAUAUCAGGAGGAACACCGGUGGCGAAGGCGGGUCUCUGGGUAGUAACUGACGCUGAGGAGCGAAAGCGUGGGUAGCGAACAGGAUUAGAUACCCCCGUAGUCCCUGUCUCUUAUAC
rnacentral:rRNA from 1 species